rnacentral:rRNA from 1 species
UACAGAGGUCUCAAGCGUUGUUCGGAUUCAUUGGGCGUAAAGGGUGUGUAGGUGGCGCGCUAAGUCGGGUGUGAAAUUUCGGAGCUUAACUCCGAAACUGCAUUCGAUACUGGCGGGCUUGAAUCCGGGAGAGGGAUGCGGAAUUCCAGGUGUAGCGGUGAAAUGCGUAGAUAUCUGGAGGAACACCGGUGGCGAAGGCGGCGAUCCUGGACCGGCAUUGACGCCUGAGGCGCGAAAGCUAGGGGGAGCAAACGGG